CGCCUAACCCUUAUGGUUUUCUGUAAGGUAUGGCACAAAAACCUUUCACAGCAUCAAGCUCGUCGUCAGAGCACUGUGAAAGGUCAUAUCCCGAAAGGGGUAUGGGUCUCGCAAGAGAUC
rnacentral:sRNA from 1 species